GGGGAAAUAAUAUAGGUUGGGGGGAAAUAAUAUAGCUAUGGAGAAAUAAUGUAGCUAGGGAGAAAUAAUGUAGCUAGGGGGAAAUAAUAUAGGUUGGGGGGAAAUAAUAAAGCUAGAGAGAUAUAAUGUAGCUAUGGAGAAAUAAUGUAGGUAGAGCAAAAUAAUAUAGCUAAGGGGAAAUAUUGCUAGGGAGAUAUAAUGUAGCUACGGGGAAAUAAUAUAGGUUGGGGGAGAUAAUAUAGCUGGGGGAAUAAUAUAGCUAGGGAGAAAUAAUGUAGCUAGGGAGAUAUAAUGUAGCUAUGGAGAAAUAAUAUAGCUGGGGGAAUAAUAUAGCUAGGGGGAAAUAAUAUAG
rnacentral:lncRNA from 1 species